GACGAACGCUGGCGGCGUGCUUAAUACAUGCAAGUCAACUGAACUUAAGGUAGCAAUAUUUUAAGGGAGGUGGCGCACGGGUGAGUAACACGUAGGUAAUCUGCCUUUAGGUCAGACACAACCUACCGAAAGGUAGGCUAAUAUCAGAUGAUGCAGCGGCUCGACAUCGAGACAGUUGUUAAACCUUCGGGGCCUAAGAUGAGCCUGCGUCUGAUUAGGUAGUUGGCGGAGUAAUAGCCCACCAAGCCUGCGAUCAGUAGCUGGUCUGAGAGGAUGAUCAGCCACACUGGAACUGAGACACGGUCCAGACUCCUACGGGAGGCAGCAGUAAGGAAUAUUGCUCAAUGGCCGAAAGGCUGAAGCAGCAACGCCGCGUGGAGGACGAAAUACUUUUGUAUGUAAACUCCUGUAAGAAGGGAAAAAUAUGCUAGUUUUUCUGCAUUGAUUGUACCUU
rnacentral:rRNA from 1 species